AGUAAAACGAUGAUGGGAGAUAGUAAAUUCAAAAGACCUUUUCAGAGAGCCAGGGUAAGGUGUGAGCCUGGUAAGGAAACUUGAAUUGAAUGGACCCGGAGUUAUUAAUUACUAAAGUGGGCUAUAAUAUAUAGUCAAUAUUAAGGUGGUACCGCGGGAGUUAACAAGCUUUCGUCCUUUUA
rnacentral:ncRNA from 1 species